ensembl:snoRNA LOC120095473 small nucleolar RNA SNORA81
ACAUUACCCAGCCUAAUGUCAAAAAUAUCUCAAUAAUGCUAGCAGAGUACACACAAGAAGAAGAGUAACUGCACUGGAUUCCAAAGACUGGGGUGGACCUCUUUCUUAAUGUCCAGUGUCCUUUGUCAUAAGAUUCGGUGCAAUAAGU